rnacentral:rRNA from 1 species
UACGGGGGAGCAAGCGUUGUUCGGAUUUACUGGGCGUAAAGGGCGCGUAGGCGGCCAGCACAAGUCAGUUGUCGAAAUCUCCCGAGCUUAACCCGGAAAGGUCAACUGAUACUGUGCGACUAGAGUGCGGAAGGGGCAACUGGAAUUCUCGGUGUAGCGGUGAAAUGCGUAGAUAUGCGGAGGAACACCGAUGGCGAAGGCAGUCCCCUGGGCCUGUACUGACGCUCAUGCACGAAAGGCGUGGGGAG